rnacentral:tRNA from 1 species
GCCGGAUUAGCUCAGCUGGUAGAGCAACGCAUUCGUAAUGCGUAGGUCGUAGGUUCGAAUCCUAUAUCCGGCACCA